rnacentral:tRNA from 1 species
GGAGGGAAAAGCUCAGUGGUAGAGCACAUGCCUAGCAUGCAUGAGGUCCUGGGUUCAAUCCCCAGGAUCUCCA